GAUGAACGCUGGCGGCGUGCCUAAUACAUGCAAGUCGAGCGAACGGACGAGAAGCUUGCUUCUCUGAUGUUAGCGGCGGACGGGUGAGUAACACGUGGAUAACCUACCUAUAAGACUGGGAUAACUUCGGGAAACCGGAGCUAAUACCGGAUGAUAUUUUGAACCGCAUGGUUCAAAAGUGAAAGACGGUCUUGCUGUCACUUCUAGAUGGAUCCGCGCUGCAUUAGCUAGUUGGUAAGGUAACGGCUUACCAAGGCAACGAUGCAUAGCCGACCUGAGAGGGUGAUCGGCCACACUGGAACUGAGACACGGUCCAGACGCCUGCGGGAGGCAGCAGUAGGGAAUCUUCCGCAAUGGGCGAAAGCCUGACGGAGCAACGCCGCGUGAGUGAUGAAGGUCUUCGGAUCGUAAAACUCUGUUAUUAGGGAAGAACAUAUGUGUAAGUAACUGUGCACAUCUUGACGGUACCUAAUCAGAAAGCCACGGCUAACUACGUG
rnacentral:rRNA from 1 species